rnacentral:lncRNA from 1 species
ACUGUUGAGAGUUCCGACCGUUGCUGCAUUACGCGCCACCUCACCAAUCUUAUACACACCAACGGUCAUAAUAUUUAAGGGCAUUUAUGUCAAAUCAUGUCGGGAUGCUCCCAAGAUAUAAAUAGCCAGCCCCCACAACCACUAGCUGGUUGGCUGCUCCGUGAAAAACUGACACUUGUCAUUUAGAGCAACCCAAAUUCCUCAGAGUCUUCGAGAGUAAAUCAUCAAGUGAGGAAAUACCCCAUACACCAAACCACAAACCAAAAACCAAGUGAUUGAGCAUCACUGAAGAAUUUGUUCCUGUGUGGAACUGAGGCCUUUUACCUUUGAGGCCUGUGCAUCCUCCAGACGGUUAGGUGUCAUGGUCUAGAGCAAUCCAACAGUCAAUUAUGGAUCGUCGGGUGACCGGGUUUGUGAGCGUUUGGAAGUCUGCCCUGAAGACUUACCAUGAGUGUUGGACGAGGACUGUGUGUCCUUAGCUCAAGGAGAAUACGGUAGGGACUUUGUGUCCCGAGACCGUGUGUCCUUUGGUUUCAAUACCAAGCCGCUCCAAACCAGACGUAGGACUGUCACACCAGUUGGAACUGGGUCAUCAACAAUUGUCUUCGUCAUAAUACGGG